GACGAACGCUGGCGGCGUGCUUAACACAUGCAAGUCGAACGAUGAAGCUGGAGCUUGCUCCGGUGGAUUAGUGGCGAACGGGUGAGUAACACGUGAGCAAUCUGCCCUUGACUCUGGGAUAACUGCGGGAAACUGUAGCUAAUACCGGAUAUUUUCCCUGGUGGGCAUCCACUGGGGAAGAAAGAAUUUCGGUCAAGGAUGAGCUCGCGGCCUAUCAGCUAGUUGGUGAGGUAAUGGCUCACCAAGGCGACGACGGGUAGCCGGCCUGAGAGGGUGACCGGCCACACUGGAACUGAGACACGGUCCAGACUCCUACGGGAGGCAGCAGUGGGGAAUAUUGCACAAUGGGCGAAAGCCUGAUGCAGCAACGCCGCGUGAGGGACGAAGGCCUUCGGGUUGUAAACCUCUUUUAGCAGGGAAGAAGCGAAAGUGACGGUACCUGCAGAAAAAGCACGGCAACUCCU
rnacentral:rRNA from 1 species